AUGGAGCCAACCACGCUCGCGUCUUUCAAGAAAACGGCGCACUCCAGCACGAGCUCCGGCGGAAACUGCAACGGCUCUGCCGUUUCUGAGUUUCCGGCCGGUUUAAGACUUCUCGUCGUUGAUGAUGACGUCACUACUUUGAAGAUUAUCGAGCGAAUGUCUCAUCGCUGCCAUUAUCGCGUCACAACAUGCUCUGAGGCUACUGUUGCUUUGAAAAUUCUGCGGGAGAGGAAAGGCUGUUUAGAUGUUGUGCUGAGUGAUGUUCAUAUGCCAGACAUGGAUUGGCUAUAA